AUGUAGUUGGAAAGAAAGACAAAUCUUAAGCAUGUUAAGAUUUGGGGUUGUGUGCUAAUAAGCAAUAUUUGUUAGAUAACAAUCUUGUGGGAUAUCCUUAAAUUAACUUUUGGAUAUCGCUUCUAUAAACCAACUAACAAAUGUUGUUUUGUUGGGUAGUUCAUUGUAAUCUUACAAUGUGAUUUGCCUAAAAGCAAAUGAACUAGAGAUAGAACUCAAAGAAUGGGUUCUUUGAGAGACAAGAAAGUAAUCAACAAAUAUAACAACCUAGUUCCUAUACCUCAAGCUCCAAGGUAGUCGAUAAGGAUUUAUAAACCGUCUCAGUUGAAUGGUUUUGAACUUUAUGACUAUGUCAUAGAGUUACACCUCUUAAUUUGAAAGAAAUAAGAAUGAAAAUCCUUAUGACUACAUUGAGUGUGUAUAUGAUAUAUACUCAAGAAAAUGGUAAAGUAUCAUUUGACCCGAAAUAAUGAAACCCUCAUAAGCUAAUUGGUAGCUUAAGGUGACUACAAUCAAAGAGAAUGGUUGACUUUGAAGAAACCAUCUUUGAGAUAGUCUUGGUUUCAAUUAAUUCGAAGAUAGCUAGCUACAACUAAAUGGUGAUUCAAUGUUUGGACAUAAUAUGGGUUUCCGAAACCAUUAUUAAGAUAGUCUUAAUAAUAUAUGUCUAAAACUAUGAAUCACAAGACAUAUAAGUUGUAAAGAUCCAUCCAUCAUGAAUCUUAGCAAGCUAGUGGGAGUUAUAAGCGUCUUAUGAGAGAAAGGUCAAAUCGUUUGAUUUCUCAUAAAGAUGUAAAUAAAUCUUUUGUUUACUAGGUUUACAAAAGAUUAGUGGGAGUUAACCAUAUUCCUAAAUUUGUAUAUAUAUAUAUAUAUAUAUAUAUGUGAUAUAUAUGAAUAUAUAUGUGAUAUAUAUGAAUAUAUAUAUGAUAUAUUAAUUUUGGAAAUGAAAAGAAUACUUCUUCGUUAAAGUUAUGACUUUAAACGUUCUAUAAAGAUAGAAUGUAUAUGGGAGACAUAGUCUAUACAUGGGAUGGAAAUCUAUAAUGAUAUAUUUCAUGAUAUAAUUGGAUUAUAUCAAUCCCUGAUAAUAGACAAUGGAUGCAAGGAAGUUUCUCAUAUGAUGAUAAACUUCAAUUAGAAGGACGACUCUAGUGUGACUAGCAAGUUGCCAUUCUCAAAGGGAACGUCCCCCUUUGACUCCCAAAGAAAUAAUGCGUAAAUAGAAUCCUUUAUGCAUACGCACAAAGGUGAUUUAUGUAUUUCAUAUUGUAUGAAAAACAUUGAUAUGAGUUGUACCUAGAACGGUACAAGACGAUAUCAGUGCAAGCCCAGGAUCAGAACCAUGGCAACUGUCAAGUGAGUCCUUAAGUAUUUAAGAAAUACUAAAGGAUAAAUUCCUCAAAGAUCGAGGAAGAAUUAGAGUAACGUAAUGGAAGCGUAAAUGUAUUAGAUUAUGAAUCUAAUCCAUCAUUGGAUGUUUCUUCAUUAUGAAUGAAGAGAUAAACAGAUAUCUCUUUAUUAUGACUAAAGAGAUAUUUGGAUGGAAACAUUUAAGUAAUGACUUUAGUGUGUUCCAUUAUGAAUGCAAAAUAUAUUGCCAUAAAGAAGCUUACAACAAUGUUGUUUGGAUGGGAAAGUUCAUUUAUGAACUCUCUAUUCAGUUCCAACCAGAAAGUGUAUGACACUAAUGGGGCGAUAGCUCAAGCCAGGGAAUCAAGGUCUCAUCAAGAUCCGAACUCAUAUGAGAGACCGAACCACAUGAUUGAGAAUCAUGUAUAAUGGUGACGUCGUUAUUCUCAAGGUUGCUUCUAUGGAU
rnacentral:lncRNA from 1 species